ACUGCAAUUUGCGUACAAUUUUUUAUAUUUGAAAGAUUACAGCAUUUUGGUUUUAUAUUAAUAAGAUUUACAUGGCGUUGCCAAAGGUAAGCGAUGGUCAUUAGUUCCCACUUGUUUGGAUUCUUUGCAGAGUGCCCGAGUAACCACUAAUUUUUUUAUAUGGUGUGACAAAUCGUACUUGGGAUUUGUGAACGGGUCGAAAGAUGGAAGUGUUAUAAUAAUAUAGUUUUUAACCAAACUACUUCAUCUGUGUAUUAUUUGCUAAUUUUGUAUCCUUUGCAUGCUUGCAGAAAUUCGUUCUUAAACCAUAUUACCUUAAAAAGGAAAAACAGAAGGCUUUAGAGAAUGUGGAAAAAACCUCUGCCAAGGUACAUGAGGCAAGAGCAGCAGCAGAGAAAGCUCAGCAGUUACUACAAAAUGUGGCCAAUAGGAAAAGAACUAGGCAAUUAGAAACAAAUGGAUUAGUUAUUACUAGAGCAUGGUAUGGAAAGCGUACCACUUUGAGUAGGAAAAAUGAAUCAAGUGAAACACACAAUGAGUUGACUUCACAAGUCACGGAUGUCACACUACCUCUGAAUUUCCUGGUUGAUGAUUCUGGACAACUCAAGCUUCAUGAAGGUGUGAAAAAGUCGGGAAUCAUGGGGUUUUGUGAUCCAUGUCCUGGAGAACCUAAGCAACUGCAUGUGGAAUACACUUACAGGGGCGAGAGUUAUGAGGUGGUGGUUGAUGAUUACGAGGAGUUGCUAAUACCAGAGGAAAGGCACAGAAUCUAAGUGCCAUUCAUUAUACUUUCGCCUUGGUUACCUCGUGCAAUUUUGCACGUUUCACAUGCCUGAGGUACCUCAACUAGAUUGCCGCCUUUUUUCCGUCAUGGUGGUAAUUAUGUAUCUAAUAAGGCGGUGAUUAAUUUUUAUUAAAAUUUUUGAAUAAGGCGUUCGUUGAAUAUUUUGUUCAGUUGUAUUAUAUUUCUCAUGGUGAAAUACAAAUUUUGUACUUGAAAUGGCAAUGUACAUUUUCAUUUAGGGCAGUUUUUUGUAGACUGUGAUGCGUAUAAUAGUGGACCUUUUUGGAUAUGUUGUGUGGGCAAAGCAAUCAAUGUUAAGAAUUGGAAUGGAAGUUUAAACAUGUAUAACACCGUCAAGUUUGUUC